GGGUUGUGAGGUUAAGCGACUAAGCGUACACGGUGGAUGCCCUGGCAGUCAGAGGCGAUGAAGGACGUGCUAAUCUGCGAAAAGCGUCGGUAAGGUGAUAUGAACCGUUACAGCCGGCGAUGUCCGAAUGGGGAAACCCAGUGCAAUUCGUUGCACUAUCGUUAACUGAAUACAUAGGUUAACGAGGCGAACCGGGGGAACUGAAACAUCUAAGUACCCCGAGGAAAAGAAAUCAACCGAGAUUCCCCCAGUAGCGGCGAGCGAACGGGGAGCAGCCCAGAGUCUGAAUCAGCUUGUGUGUUAGUGGAACGGUCUGGAAAGUCCGACGGUACAGGGUGAUAGUCCCGUACACCAAAAUGCACAGGUUGUGAACUCGAAGAGUAGGGCGGGACACGUGGUAUCCUGUCUGAAUAUGGGGGGACCAUCCUCCAAGGCUAAAUACUCCUGACUGACCGAUAGUGAACCAGUACCGUGAGGGAAAGGCGAAAAGAACCCCGGCGAGGGGAGUGAAAAAGAACCUGAAACCGUGUACGUACAAGCAGUGGGAGCACCUUCGGGUGUGACUGCGUACCUUUUGUAUAAUGGGUCAGCGACUUAUAUUCUGUAGCAAGGUUAACCGUAUAGGGGAGCCGCAGGGAAACCGAGUCUUAACUGGGCGUUAAGUUGCAGGGUAUAGACCCGAAACCCGGUGAUCUAGCCAUGGGCAGGUUGAAGGUUGGGUAACACUAACUGGAGGACCGAACCGACUAAUGUUGAAAAAUUAGCGGAUGACUUGUGGCUGGGGGUGAAAGGCCAAUCAAACCGGGAGAUAGCUGGUUCUCCCCGAAAGCUAUUUAGGUAGCGCCUCGUGAACUCAUCUUCGGGGGUAGAGCACUGUUUCGGCUAGGGGGUCAUCCCGACUUACCAACCCGAUGCAAACUACGAAUACCGAAGAAUGUUAUCACGGGAGACACACGGCGGGUGCUAACGUCCGUCGUGAAGAGGGAAACAACCCAGACCGCCAGCUAAGGUCCCAAAGUCAUGGUUAAGUGGGAAACGAUGUGGGAAGGCACAGACAGCCAGGAUGUUGGCUUAGAAGCAGCCAUCAUUUAAAGAAAGCGUAAUAGCUCACUGGUCGAGUCGGCCUGCGCGGAAGAUGUAACGGGGCUAAACCAUGCACCGAAGCUGCGGCAGCGACACUAUGUGUUGUUGGGUAGGGGAGCGUUCUGUAAGCCUGCGAAGGUGUGCUGUGAGGCAUGCUGGAGGUAUCAGAAGUGCGAAUGCUGACAUAAGUAACGAUAAAGCGGGUGAAAAGCCCGCUCGCCGGAAGACCAAGGGUUCCUGUCCAACGUUAAUCGGGGCAGGGUGAGUCGACCCCUAAGGCGAGGCCGAAAGGCGUAGUCGAUGGGAAACAGGUUAAUAUUCCUGUACUUGGUGUUACUGCGAAGGGGGGACGGAGAAGGCUAUGUUAGCCGGGCGACGGUUGUCCCGGUUUAAGCAUGUAGGCUGGUUAUCCAGGCAAAUCCGGAUAAUCAAGGCUGAGGUGUGAUGACGAGGCACUACGGUGCUGAAGUAACAAAUGCCCUGCUUCCAGGAAAAGCCUCUAAGCAUCAGGUAACAUCAAAUCGUACCCCAAACCGACACAGGUGGUCAGGUAGAGAAUACCAAGGCGCUUGAGAGAACUCGGGUGAAGGAACUAGGCAAAAUGGUGCCGUAACUUCGGGAGAAGGCACGCUGGUGUGUAGGUGAAGUCCCUGCGGAUGGAGCUGAGACCAGUCGAAGAUACCAGCUGGCUGCAACUGUUUAUUAAAAACACAGCACUGUGCAAACACGAAAGUGGACGUAUACGGUGUGACGCCUGCCCGGUGCCGGAAGGUUAAUUGAUGGGGUUAUCCGUAAGGAGAAGCUCUUGAUCGAAGCCCCGGUAAACGGCGGCCGUAACUAUAACGGUCCUAAGGUAGCGAAAUUCCUUGUCGGGUAAGUUCCGACCUGCACGAAUGGCGUAAUGAUGGCCAGGCUGUCUCCACCCGAGACUCAGUGAAAUUGAACUCGCUGUGAAGAUGCAGUGUACCCGCGGCAAGACGGAAAGACCCCGUGAACCUUUACUAUAGCUUGACACUGAACAUUGAGCCUUGAUGUGUAGGAUAGGUGGGAGGCUUUGAAGCGUGGACGCCAGUCUGCGUAGAGCCAACCUUGAAAUACCACCCUUUAAUGUUUGAUGUUCUAACGUUGGCCCCUGACCGGGGUUGCGGACAGUGUCUGGUGGGUAGUUUGACUGGGGCGGUCUCCUCCCAAAGCGUAACGGAGGAGCACGAAGGUUAGCUAAUCCUGGUCGGACAUCAGGAGGUUAGUGCAAUGGCAUAAGCUAGCUUGACUGCGAGCGUGACGGCGCGAGCAGGUGCGAAAGCAGGUCAUAGUGAUCCGGUGGUUCUGAAUGGAAGGGCCAUCGCUCAACGGAUAAAAGGUACUCCGGGGAUAACAGGCUGAUACCGCCCAAGAGUUCAUAUCGACGGCGGUGUUUGGCACCUCGAUGUCGGCUCAUCACAUCCUGGGGCUGAAGUAGGUCCCAAGGGUAUGGCUGUUCGCCAUUUAAAGUGGUACGCGAGCUGGGUUUAGAACGUCGUGAGACAGUUCGGUCCCUAUCUGCCGUGGGCGCUGGAGAAUUGAGGGGGGCUGCUCCUAGUACGAGAGGACCGGAGUGGACGCAUCACUGGUGUUCGGGUUGUCAUGCCAAUGGCACUGCCCGGUAGCUAAAUGCGGAAGAGAUAAGUGCUGAAAGCAUCUAAGCACGAAACUUGCCCCGAGAUGAGUUCUCCCUGAGACUAUAAGUCUCCUGAAGGAACGUUAAAGACGAUGACGUUGAUAGGCCGGGUGUGUAAGCGCAGCGAUGCGUUGAGCUAACCGGUACUAAUGAACCGUGAGGCUUAACCUUACAACGCCGAAG
rnacentral:rRNA from 1 species